CCACCCACGGGCGCCCUCCCGCCAUCUUGGUUAAGGGCAAUACCUUCCCUCGCCCCCGACGGUGUCACGGGACUUCCGCCCCAGGCCAACAUGUCUGCCCCCCUCGGCCUCCCCGUUAGCGUGGGGGGGAAGGAGCGCAGCCGGGCUGUCGGCACUCUGCCCCGCUGCUCUGGCUGGUGGCGGUUGCGCGGCAGGCCGUGGGGGCGCGGUCAGGCGGGGUGGACGCGGUAUGGAGGCGGUGGCGGGGCGGCCGUGCCCCAGCUCCUCAGCGGGCUGUGGGCGCUCCCUCAGGCCAGCGGGUUCAGCUCCCUGGGGCGCAGCGAGUGCCACGGGCGGGGAGCGCAGGGCUCGGCCUGGGGAAGCGCAGGCUGUGCCAGCCGGGUGACCCCCGCCGCGCCCGCUUGCCGUUGGCGGCGCCGCCGCCUCUUCCCUGCCGCCCCCGUGAGGUGAGGCGGGCUCGGCUGGGCCUCCGCCGCUGCCUCCUGGGUGGCACCGGUCGGUGAGGAAGGGCUGGGGCUUUCGGCCUUUGCCCUGCACCAAGUUAAACUGCCGUUUCUGCCAGCCUGUGGGAAUUUGAUAACUAGUGAUACGGGAGCCUCAGCCAGAAGUGCUGUCACAUAGCGUCCGUGUUCAGCUUUUAGCUGUGGGGCAGCGUGGUGAGGCCUCAAAGCUGGUUCUCUGGUGAUGUUAACAAAGUCUUCUUCUGCCUUGUGUCUAGGUUGCUUAUAGCUGCUGUGAGAGUGGUCCCAGGUGACAGCUGGCUGAGUUGGAGCGGUUGGCAGUUUCACAGUGAUUUUGAACUUUGUUAGGGUCAACAGUAUUAAGGCUUAUGUGGCCAAGUUCUGCUGUCCGUCAUGGGUAACAGCUGAUCUAUGCCUUUAUGAAGUCUAUACAAUGUUUGUGUGUGUCUAAGCUCCUGUGACACUUGAAAAGGAUAAUACUGAAUUUAUGGUUCACUGGGCAAGGUUUCACAGAGGGCUUUCUGCUCAUGCUCCCAGAAACUUGAUUUUUAUGUGCUGGAGGAAAAGUGUCAAAAGUAUUUAGACAUUUUUUUUCCCCCUCCUCAUUUUUAAAAAGCUGUUUAGUUGUGAACUGCCAAUGGAUGAAGACUUCUCAGGCCAACAGGAACCCGCUUGGCUCCUCUUUGUGACAGAACCAGGCCCAGGGAGCACUCCAGCCUGCAUCGAGUUGCUGUUAACGAGCUGAGAAGCAGGCAGGGUAGGGGGGACUUCCCUUUGGAAGGAAGUUACUGAUCUUAAACAGAAGCAAAUGAGGCAUCGACAACUUUAAGACAAAUUUGGAAAAUCAGGGUGAUGGUACAGGAAGUAGAAACAAAGUUGAAGCUGGAGUUUGUGGCCUUGAUCAACAACAAGUUGGAGCAGAAACAUCUCAGAGGUAGAAAAGAUUUUGAGGUGAGAAUUCUGUGCUGUGUUUGAAUCUGUAUAGAGAUCUCUGUACUAGUAAAUGGGCAUAUUGUUCUCGUCAACAGCUGCUCUGGGAUGAGCAGAAACCACCAUACCAGUGGCACAAAUCUAGGUUACAUCAAGAAAGAAGAAAUAGGCAGUGCUGAUGCUCCGUCUGGAUCAGCAAGGGAGAUGCUAAGUCAGAACCCUUCAACACUCACGUGAGCAUUGCGUCCAGGUUUGGAUCUUCGUGGGCAGAAUGCUUGGGAAAGGCAUGUGGAGAAAAGCAGGAAAAUAAAUCACUGCCAUCAAAAAACUUGAGCAGUACUUGAAUCAGAUGUACAAGGACAGCAUAAAACUAACUGAAAGGAUAUUGGCUUUGGAAGAACAAUCUCUUCAGAAGCUCUCUGUCGUCCUCCAUGCCUACUGUAGUGAGUUUCAUCAUGAACACAGACUUCUCAAAGGCUGUCCCAGGUUCAAGCAAGAUUAAUUUAAAGCACUUUUAAUUCAGGGAUAUCCUAACAUGUGCAGAGUUGAGACUCCCUACUAGGAAUACUUUCAGUUAUUUAAAUCGUGUAAUACCUUUUAUAAAGGUGGAAGGCUUGCAUUAAAUUCAGCUGUGAAGUACUGUGCAGUGUUUGAUACUAAGGUGUUCCAGGAUGGUUUACUUGUGGUCACCUGUGCUUGUUCCAGGGCCAACUUAUGUGCAAGCUCAGUGACCGAUUUGUUUUUUGCUUUCAUAGGGAUCAAUACAUACAAAUCAAUAAAGAUAACUGGAUCUGAAACACAAAUUACAGCAUGCCAGAGAGUUACAGGACAAGUGUGUCAUCCUUUUAGUACUUAAAAGAGGCUUAUAAGAAAGAUAGGGACAGACUUUCAGUAGGGCCUGUAGUGAUAGGACAAAGGGUAAUGGCUUUAAGCUGAAAGAGGGUAGAUUUAGAUUUGAUAUUGGGAAGCAAUUCUUUACUGUGAGGGCGGUGGGGCACAGGCACAGGCUGCCCAGAGAAGCUGUGGAUGCCCCAUCCCUGGAAGUGUUCAAGGCCAGGCUGGAUGGAGCUUUGAGUAACCUGGUGUAGUGGGAGGUAUCCCUGCCUAUGGCAGGGUGUUGGAACUAGAUGGUCUUUAAGGUCCCUUCCAACUCAAACCGUUCUCUAAUUCUAUGAUUCUUUACUACUUUAUUGCCAGAACCUUCAGGUGUCAUGCAUUUCAGUCAGGACAGGUAGUGGUCACAAUAAGAGGAGAGUAUCACCUUGAAAUCUGUCACCCAACCUUUGGCUAACUUGUCAUUUUUAGUUGCUUGUGUUGUGUCGUGCUGCUUGUCUUGAGGAGAAUCCCUAGACUGGUAUCCCUUGGGCAGCUGACCUAGGCAUUACUCAGGGUCUGAUGUGACAGGAAUUCAUGCAGAUUGUGCUUCAGACUUGACAAGAGCUGUAGCAACAGCCUGUAAGGAAAGCUUGGCUGUUGACCCUCGCUGUGUAUUCCACUAUGGUGGAAGAAAAUAGGAAGUGAGAGAGGAUGGGUGAAGUUCAUAUCAGGACAGUGUUGUUACGAGGCUGCUUUGCCACCUUGUUCUACAACAUAGUUACAAAUACAAAGAAUCCCAAUCCCCAGGUUUUUUUCACAUAAAAAUGGCACUAUCAGUGGCCAAAGCUCCUUUAAGAGAGUAUGGCGCUGCUGUGGGGCUUGAUUGCUGCUCCAGUGUGAGAGGAAGAGACCAGUAGUGGUUGCGAUUCUAAGCAUAUGUGAUGUCAAAUGAACAGGUAGUGAUAUUAACAGAUAUCUGGCUUUAUUCUCUUGGCUUCCUGCCCAGAUUUGAGGUGCUGCUGCCUGUAUAGCCUCUCUGUGAAAGCUGUGAGACAGAGUGGUGGAAGUGAGAUGAUGUUGCUUGUUGGCAGCACUCUCUUAGUCCCCAGGCACUGUGUCGUAGCUGGAACUCCUGCCUGUGGGCGGGUACCAUGGACCCCAGGGAGGGGGAACGAGGCUAGGCAGGAACAGCAUCUGCUGGGGCUCGAGGGAUUAGUUGAGGGAUAUGGGAGGAGAUCUUUCUGAAUUCCCAACAUUUCACAAUGGAGAAAAAGUCGUACUGGCGAGGGGAGGGUGCGAACUGUAUUGUGAAAGAUGUAAAUAGCUUGACCUGUCUCAGACUUUAUAAUUACCGGAUUUCCACAAGCUGAAUGGAGGAAGAUUUUACUGCAGAGUGGAAAACGAUGAUUAAUAGCACUGAUUAUGAAGAUACUGGGAAGUCAGAUAGCCCCAGGUUAAAGACUACAAUUGCUGACUUGUAAAGUAACAUAACAGGAAGCUUUAUGAACAUGGGCAAGAUAUUACCCUGUGCUCAGACCUUGUAAGAUAAUAAAAAAACUAAUUGAAGAGUUACUUGAGUUGCACAUCACUCACAUUUUAUGCCAAGUAUUAAUUUAAUAACUUCCAGUUCUUAAGCCUUAAGGCUUCAGAAAUUUUUUUUUUUUUUUUCCAAAACUGAGGUCUAGCAAGAAAGGUUAAAAGACUUCUCUCAACUAUAAGAUGUUGGAAAUCAAGUUAUACAAUAGUCUUUCUCACCAAGAUGAUGUUCCAUCUACUAGUGAAGUGCAAAAAAGUGCAUGGUUUUACUUCUGUCUGAGCAAAAGAUACUGGAAUAGCAUCUUAACUUUUUGAGAUAAUUCAACAUUUACAAGCACAAUUUGAAAUAUUGUCCAACAGUUCUGUAAAUCAACUCCUAUUUUCAAAUGUAUGUUGUGAACAAAAAAGAAAAAAAGUGAAAUAAAAAAUAUUGUGUCCAGAUUAAAUCACAACCAUAUUCUCUCUGCUUAUCUAGCAUUUGUAGCUAGAUAAAUGGAACCUGGUAGGGUGAAAAAUUACUUGGGUAAUUACAGUAAACUUGUGCUUAAAUUUAAAAAUCAUUCUUUUAAGUUUUAUCAUUCCAAAUACUGACCCUGAAAAGCUAAGCCAUAAACUUAGUAACUGUGACGACUUCUCUGAGGAAUGAUCUGGUGAAUGCCAGUCAGUGAGUUUGUUACACGCUGUUGUAGCCUGCUAACGCUGCUAGAAAAGAGAAGCUGUGUGAUACAAAGCUUGAAAUGGAAAUACUUAUUUUCCUACAGGCUACUAGGCUAAAGGUUCUCAGUCUUUUUUUCCUGUGCUGUUGUACUUUAUUCUCACUGCAAACUGAAGCAGAUAAAGUUGCCCUUGAUUAUUUGAGACUUUUUUUGAGAAGUCUCCACAAAAUAAACCAUCAGUAACACUGUCA